GCUGGGUUCUCUUCUGUCUGGCCGCAACCCCAAAGCCCAGGACGACCUGCCUGGGUCUCAGGAGGGGUUGUGCCCUAGGCCUACAGUUUUCCUUUGCUCUGCGGGUGGAGAAUGCGGGGUGGAGGUUGGAGACAGGGCUCCAAGAGCCCCAGGGAAGUGUCAGGAAGAGGCGCACGGGCUGAGGAAGGCGUCCUAGCUCUUGCAGCCAAACACCUGGCCCGCUGCAGAAAGACCCCCAGCGCUCUACUCAGCUACCCCAGAAACUUUCUAAAGACGGGGUGUCCAGCCUGAAAGAUCCCCCAAGGCUUUGCUUAGCUACACUGCUCCACAGCUCGCAGGGCAGCCCUGCGUGGUCAGAAGCCGGGGCUCUCGACGGGGUAGCCGUGUAGUGAGAUAUUAGAAGGAACGACUAAUAAACUGCUUUCACUGAACAAAAUUGCCAAAAGCAGUUGAUCAAGGAGGAGUGAUCACAAAAUACAGUGAAUGCUUAAAUGAAAACUUCAUUACAACAUGCAAAUGGAUAUUCCACAUCCAGGAACAAAUUGGCCAACUGCAUAUACCAGGCAAAAUCCACCAGCAACACCACAAGGUAAAAUAUGUGAUUGAGGAAGCAAAGUGAUAGUAAUCAAUGCG
rnacentral:lncRNA from 1 species